rnacentral:rRNA from 1 species
UACGGAGGGGCUAGCGUUGUUCGGAAUUACUGGGCGUAAAGCGCACGUAGGCGGCUUUGUAAGUUAGAGGUGAAAGCCCGGGGCUCAACUCCGGAAUUGCCUUUAAGGACUGCAUCGCUAGAAUUGUGGAGAGGUAAGUGGGAAUUCCGAGUGUAGAGGUGAAAUUCGUAGAUAUUCGGAAGAACACCAGUGGCGAAGGCGACUUACUGGACACAUAUUGACGCUGAGGUGCGAAAGCGUGGGGAGCAAACAGGAGUCUGAGCAUCGAUCAUGUACAGCUACGUACGUCUGAGCACGAUCGAUGUACAGCUACGUACGUCUGAGCAUCGACGAUGACAGCUACGUAC